GACGAACGCUGGCGGCGUGCCUAAUACAUGCAAGUCGAACGCAGUGGGGACGGGUGAGUAACACGUGGGUACCCUCCCAUCAGAGGGGAUAACACGUGGAAACAGGUGCUAAACCGAUAUUGAUGGAUGGACCCGCGGUGCCUUCGCUAGUUGGUGAGGUAACGGCUCACCAAGGCCACGAUGCAUAGCCGGUCUGAGAGGGUGAUCGGCCACACUGGGACUGAGACACGGCCCAGACUCCUACGGGAGGCAGCAGUGGGGAAUAUUGGACAAUGGGCGCAAGCCUGAUCCAGCCAUGCCGCGUGUAUGAAGAAGGCCUUCGGGUUGUAAAGUACUUUCAGCUGGGAAGCGUUACCUGCAGAAGAAGCACCGGCUAACUACGUGCCAGCAGCCGCGGUAAUUC
rnacentral:rRNA from 1 species